rnacentral:rRNA from 1 species
GGCGCAACCUGAUGCAGCGACGCCGCGUGAGGGAUGUAGGCCUUCGGGUUGUGAACCUCUUUCGCCAGUGAAGCAGGCCGCCUCCUUGGGGGGUGGUUGACGGUAGCUGGAUAAGAAGCGCCGGCUAACUACGUGCCAGCAGCCGCGGUAAUACGUAGGGCGCGAGCGUUGUCCGGAAUUAUUGGGCGUAAAGAGCUCGUAGGCGGCUGGUCGCGUCUGUCGUGAAAUCCUCUGGCUUAACCGGGGGCUUGCGGUGGGUACGGGCCGGCUUGAGUGCGGUAGGGGAGACUGGAAUUCCUGGUGUAGCGGUGGAAUGCGCAGAUAUCAGGAGGAACACCGGUGGCGAAGGCGGGUCUCU